GCCCCGGUGGACAAAUCUGGCAAAGUCGCUUCUCUCAAAAGGAAGAGUUCUGCGAGUUCGACUCUCGCCCGGGGUACCA
rnacentral:tRNA from 1 species